rnacentral:rRNA from 1 species
AACGAACGCUGGCGGCAUGCCUAACACAUGCAAGUCGAACGAACCCUUCGGGGUGAGUGGCGCACGGGUGCGUAACACGUGGGAACCUGCCCUUAGGUUCGGAAUAACACAGAGAAAUUUGUGCUAAUACUGGAUAAUGUCUUCGGACCAAAGAUUUAUCGCCUUUGGAUGGGCCCGCGUAGGAUUAGCUAGUUGGUGAGGUAAAGGCUCACCAAGGCGACGAUCCUUAGCUGGUCUUAGAGGAUGAUCAGCCACACUGGGACUGAGACACGGCCCAGACUCCUACGGGAGGCAGCAGUGGGGAAUAUUGGACAAUGGGCGAAAGCCUGAUCCAGCAAUGCCGCGUGAGUGAUGAAGGCCCUAGGGUUGUAAAGCUCUUUCACCGGUGAAGAUAAUGACGGUAACCGGAGAAGAAGCCCCGGCUAACUUCGUGCCAGCCGCCGCGGUAACAC